AGUUAUUUAAUUUUGCUUUUUCAUCAGUUUUUACUAAUGAAGAUUUAAGCAAUAUUCCUCAUCUUGAAUUGUUGAUAGAUAGAAACAAUAUCGAAGAA